UGGGUUAAGUCCCGCAACGAGCGCAACCCUCGUUUUUAGUUGCCAUCAUUAAGUUGGGCACUCUAGAGAGACUGCCGGUGACAAACCGGAGGAAAGGUGGGGAUGACGUCAAGUCAGCAUGCCCCUUACGUUCUGGGCUACACACGUACUACAAUGCUACGGACAAAGGGUAGCAAGACAGCGAUGUCAAGCCAAUCCCAUAAACCGUGGCUCAGUUCAGAUUGCAGGCUGCAACUCGCCUGCAUGAAGGCGGAAUCGCUAGUAAUCGCAGGUCAGCACUACUGCGGUGAAUACGUUCCCGGGCCUUGUACACACCGCCCGUCACACCAUGGAAGCUGGCUUAGCCCGAAGUCGUUACCCUAACCGUAAGGAGGGGGAUGCCGAAGGCAGGGCUGGUGACUGGGGUGAAGUCGUAACAAGGUAGCCGUACCGGAAGGUGUGGCUGGAUCACCUCCUUUAAGGGAGACCAAACCCAUCGACAAUCAAAAAUACCAAUUAGAUUGAGAUGAGGUCAACCUAGGUCGUGGCGAAGCAAGUGGAGCUUUUCAACUAUAAUUAAGGUUUGGGGGCUAUUAGCUCAGGUGGUUAGAGCACACCCCUGAUAAGGGUGAGGUCCCUGGUUCGAGUCCAGGAUAGCCCACCUAUAGGAAGCAGCUAGCAGUAAUGUUAGUUGCAAAAAUCCUUGGGGGUUUAGCUCAGUUGGUAGAGCGCCUGCUUUGCAAGCAGGAUGUCAGCGGUUCGAGUCCGCUAACCUCCACCUGAAGAAAACCAGCCAAGAGUUGAUUCAGCACCGUGGCUAACAGCAGCCAGAAUGCUGAGUAAUAACUCAGUCAGAACCUUGAAAACUGCAUAGAGAAAGCAAAUAGCAGGCAGAUCCAAUAGGGUAAAACCUAAAGUAUCUGACAAAAGAAACUGGUCAAGCUACAAAGGGCUAAUGGGGAUACCUWGGCACACAGAGGCGADG
rnacentral:sRNA from 1 species